AUGCCGUGAUGGGGGCAUGCUGAGAUGUAUUCCUGGAAUCUCUCCCAAGCUUCAGGAAUGGCUUCAUAUGGGAGCUGUUGAAAUCCAGAGAUCUUACCUCGAAGGGC